CCAGAGAUGGAUUGGUGCCUUCGGGAACUCUGACACAGGUGCUGCAUGGCUGUCGUCAGCUCGUGUCGUGAGGUGUCGGGUUAAGUCCCAUAACGAGCGCAACCCCUACCUUUAGUUGCCAUCAGGUAAUGCUGGGGACUCUAAAGGAACUGCCUACGCAAGUAGUGAGGAAGGCGGGGAUGACGUCAAAUCAGCACGGCCCUUACGUCCAGGGCUACACACGUGCUACAAUGGCCGAUACAGAGGGCAGCUACCUGGUGACAGGAUGCAAAUCUCAAAAGCCGGUCUCAGUUCGGAUCGGAGUCUGCAACCCGACUUCGUGAAGCUGGAAUCGCUAGUAAUCGCGCAUCAGCCAUGGCGCGGUGAAUACGUUCCCGGGCCUU
rnacentral:rRNA from 1 species